rnacentral:rRNA from 1 species
UACGUAGGGUGCGAGCGUUGUCCGGAAUUAUUGGGCGUAAAGCGCACGUAGGCGGCAUUGCAAGUCCCAUGUGAAAUCCCACGGCUUAACCGUGGAAGUGCAUGGGAAACUGCAGUGCUUGAGUACUUAAGAGGAUCGCGGAAUUCCCGGUGUAGAGGUGAAAUUCGUAGAUAUCGGGAGGAACACCAGUGGCGAAGGCGGCGAUCUGGGAAGAUACUGACGCUGAGGUGCGAAAGCGUGGGGAGCAAACAGG